CUCUCCGUCCCUCACAUGGCCUCUGAUAUGUUUAAACUUUCCAUCUCUCCGUCCCUCACAUGGCCUCUGAUAUGUUAAACCUGUCCAUCUCUCCGUCCCUCACAUGGCUCUGAUAUGUUUAAACCUGUCCAUCUCUCCGUCCCUCACAUGGCCUCUGAUAUGUUUAAACCUGUCCAUCUCUCCGUCCCUCACAUGGCCUCUGAUAUGUUAUGCCUGUCCAUCUCUCCGUCCCUCACAUGGCCUCUGAUAUGUUAAGCCUGUCCAUCUCUCCGUCCCUCACAUGGCCUCUGAUAUGUUAAACCUGUCCAUCUCUCCGUCCUCACUUGGCCUCUGAUAUGGUAAGCUGUCCAUCUCUCCGCCUCACAUGGCCUCUGAUAUGUUAAGCCUGUCCAUCUCUCCGUCCCUCACAUGGCCUCUGAUAUGUUAAGCCUGUCCAUCUCUCCGUCCCUCACAUGGCCUCUGAUAUGUUAUGCCUGUCCAUCUCUCCGUCCUCACAUGGCCCUCUGAUAUGUUAAGCCUGUCCAUCUCUCCGUCCCUCACAUGGCU
ensembl:lncRNA